rnacentral:lncRNA from 1 species
ACCUGCUCAUUAUCUGUGUUUCAUCUCUACGCUCUAGCUGACAGUUGGUUCUGGUAAAUGGCAACAAUGCUACAACUACCAAAUAAAAUGCUGGACAGACUGACAGAAGAUAUCUCUUCAUCUUAGAAGCUGACUCUUACAUGAAUCUGGCAACCACAGAUUUCAUAGAAAGAAGAUUAUGGUGAGCACAAGGAAAGCAAGUGCAUUCCUGUGUCCAGGAGACAAAUACGUGAUGCAGAAACUGGAUGGACCAAAAAGAGGAGGUGCAUCACUGAGUCUGCCAAUCACAAAGGAAAAAGAACUGACAAGAACAUGUUGGCUGCUAUUACUUCAUGAAUUAUUUAGACUGCAGUAAACAAGAAAUACAUCUAUAUGUCCAUUGAAGAGAAGCUGAAUGGAAAAAACAGGAUUAAGAAGUGAUGAUAAGUAGAUAAUCCUGAACUUCUUAUAAAUAAACAAGAUUCACUUUACUGCUUCA